rnacentral:rRNA from 1 species
CGGUCUGUCAAGUCGGAUGUGAAAUCCCCGGGCUCAACCUGGGAACUGCAUUCGAAACUGGCAGGCUAGAGUCUUGUAGAGGGGGGUAGAAUUCCAGGUGUAGCGGUGAAAUGCGUAGAGAUCUGGAGGAAUACCGGUGGCGAAGGCGGCCCCCUGGACAAAGACUGACGCUCAGGUGCGAAAGCGUGGGGAGCAAACAGGAUUAGAUACCCUGGUAGUCCACGCCGUAAACGAUGUCGACUUGGAGGUUGUGCCCUUGAGGCGUGGCUUCCGGAGCUAACGCGUUAAGUCGACCGCCUGGGGAGUACGGCCGCAAGGUUAAAACUCAAAUGAAUUGACGGGGGCCCGCACAAGCGGUGGAGCAUGUGGUUUAAUUCGAUGCAACGCGAAGAACCUUACCUACUCUUGACAUCCAGAGAACUUUCCAGAGAUGGAUUGGUGCCUUCGGGA